UACGUAGGUGGCAAGCGUUGUCCGGAUUUACUGGGUGUAAAGGGCGUGCAGCCGGGCUGACAAGUCAGAUGUGAAAUCCCGCGGCUCAACCGCGGAACUGCAUUUGAAACUGUCAGUCUUGAGUACCGGAGAGGUCAUCGGAAUUCCUUGUGUAGCGGUGAAAUGCGUAGAUAUAAGGAAGAACACCAGUGGCGAAGGCGGAUGACUGGACGGCAACUGACGGUGAGGCGCGAAAGCGUGGGGAGCAGACAGG
rnacentral:rRNA from 1 species